GAAAAUGCUACGGCCUGCCACGACCACCUGGGCUGCGUCACGGCACACACUGAUGGCAUUGGCGGGAGCGUCCAGGUGGCAAUGCAUGGUGCGACCCGUCAGCACGCUGCCACCCAGGGCUGUGGUCACACGGGACAUCUUCUCCAUGGCUGCACAGGUUCAUCAUGACGUCUGGUCAUCCCUCGACAGGUUCCGAGCUUCCCCUCCUUCCUCACUCCUGCGACCUCAGGAGCAGCCUCCCAACAGCUUUCCUGGGUCCGUCGUUCCCCUCUGAUCUGAAACCCGCACGGAAGUCAGGUACCAGGUCUUCUGCCUGAGGCCUCUGGCAGCUCCCACUCUGCUGUGAAUGAACCCCCAACACCUGGCCUCUGCCUUCCCCUGUGUACCUCCAGCCACAGCAACUUCCACCCCCAUUCCCAGCCCACCAAGCCCUUUCCUGUCUCGGGGACAUUGCGCAUGCGAUGCCUCCUCCACAGAGAGGACCUCCCUGACCACUGUCCUAAUGGGCCUUUCCAUCACUGUGGCCUCCACGGCACUUGUCACCACCCAUUCGUUUGUUUACUGGUUGUUGGUCA